UACUAAAAUAGAAACCUUAAUAAAGUAUUAAAAUAAAAUCUUAGUUAAAAUUUAAUCAAAUUCUAGUUAAAUUCGAAUCAAAUCCUAAUCAAAUUCUAAAUAAAUCUUAAAUAAAACUUAACCAAAUCCUAAUAAAAUCCUAACUAAAUUCUAACCAAAUCCUAAAAAAACCUAAAUAAACCUAAACCGAAUCCUAAUAAAAUCCUAAACAUAUCCUAAAUAAUUCCAAGUAAUUCCUAUAGCAGAUUUAAACUUCAAUAAUUAAUGAAUGAACCAUUGAUUUUAACUCAAAUUU
rnacentral:lncRNA from 1 species